ensembl:lncRNA
AUGAAUGUGUCAGUCGCCCGUAGCUCAUUCAGAAGCAACCGUGGCAGUUUUAACACGGCAACGUGUAAUCUCGCUUAUUCCUCACACACAUACAUCAUUUACAGUAAGAAGAGCGGAACUCAGUCAGAGCUUUGCCCAACAUCACACCACCAGUUAAAAAAAAAAAAGUCGAGGUUCGAACACACUCCGGAAGGCUCCAAGCCCCCAGGUUCGCCUAACACAGAAUCCCGCUGCCGAAGCCCCAGGGUUCUCCGCCUAGAACGGAUCCUGCAAACGCAGCAGCCGCCGCGUUCCCAGGUUGCGGCCCCCCGAUCCACUUCCCGGCCCCAGUUGUCUUCCUCGGACGGCCGCCGGGCGGUGAUGGUGGGCUCCAAGCUCCGCCCGUCCCGUCCUCCCCGGCCGCCCCGCCCCGAAGCGCGCGUGGGAACGCGGCGUCCUCCCCGGGGCUGCCCGCGACGACUGCCUGCGCGCAUCCGGGAGGGCUCUCCCGGCCCCCGGCCGGGUCUCCACCCGCCGCCGCCAUCGCUUCCCGGCCUCCGCCUCCCCGCCGCCGGGCGCACGCAGGGGCCGGCGCCCUGGGAGCGCGCCGCCGUGUUUCCCUUUUCCGGCCGGCACCGCCGCGGACACCUCACAUCCGGGCGCGCGGCGGCGAAGGCGGUGCUGGGGCCCGGGUGCGUGGAGGGAGUUAUUAAGGGGGAGGGGGCCGGGGAGGAGGGGCGGAGGGCUGGGCCGCGGUUACGGCGGCUGAAGGGAGACAGCCCGGGCGGGUGGGGGGGGCAAGAGCGAAGGCCGCGCGGAGCAGCUCUCGGGCCGGCGCGGGCGGCGGGGAGGGGAGCGGCGGCCGAGGCAACCAGUAAGGGCCGGGCGGCAGCGGCGGGGUCUGGGGCUCCGCGCGCCUGGGCCCGCGGGGAGAGAAGGGGCGCGGGCGCGCUGAGCCCCGGGGUCGCGUGCGUGAGCGCGAGCGCCGAGGCGCGCGCGGGGGGCAGGCAGGGACCAGAGGCCAGCGGGGCGGCUGGCGGGCAGCGGGCGGGCUGGCGGGGCCCGAGCCGCCGGGCCGGGGCGGACGGCGGCGGGCCUGCGCCGGCUCCAGCUUGGAGCACCGGGGCUGGGGGAUUCGGCCCUCCUGCUCGCUCUGGCCCGCCUCCCCUCAGUGAGUACUGUCCCCGCCCUUCCUCCGAAGGCGGCUGCUGGGCCAGGGCCUGCGCGAGAGGCCGGGGGUUGGGGUCGCGGCCCCGGGAAGCCGAGUUUUGGAUCUGA